GGUUGCUGUUCUUAGAAUUCCUGAAUCACUUUAUGACUUCUUAUGGCAUCACAGUGAAAGCUGAAGCUUCCAUUCAUUAGAGAACCAUCAUUGCAUGAUGACAUUUCCUUCUUUUCACUGGCAGGCAGUAUUAAUUCUGGCACCAUUAGCAAAUCUACAUAUUGGCAAUAGUGACCAUAAAUCCUCUGUUAACUCCCAUGUCUCAUCUUGACUAUCAAGAUUAUUACAUGGAAAGACCUUUGAACCCACCAAAUGGUGAAACCUUACUUUUUUAAAGUCAAUUUGCCGGUUGAAGUUUUUGGUGUACUUCUGCUUCACAUUCAGUGGUUGAAUUACCACCAGAUCUGUUGUUCAGUAUGUGUCCAAGAAGGUUCUGCUCUGAAUUAGUGAAUCUUGUUACACGUGUGCAUAUGAGACUUGCAUCAUGCAGUCACUUGUGCUCAGACAGCACAUGAGCAGAGCACCCAAUGGCAGUGCUGGAGUGCGGCGUGAGCCAGACGUGAUGGAGGAGAGGACAGUGACCGACCUGACACAACUCAACCUCCCGCUAAGUGCCCCCAAUCCACAGUGACUUGAGAUUAUUGUAUCAUUUUUUUAAAUGACUGUUUUAGUAUUUGAUUAUCUGUCCUCUGAUUUCCAUCAUUUUUCAUUGUCUUAUAUGUAAAGAAAUAGCAGCACUCUCCUUGAUAGCUUUUUAUAGGACUAUAGGACUGAUAUUCAAGGCAAACAAUCUUUUUUUCAGUCUGGAAGUUUAUAUGCCUGUUUCAGGUCGUAAACCCCAGCAUCCAAGCAUAUAGGCUAUGCGCUGGUAAUGACAUUUAAAGUAGAAGUUUGCAUUUGUUUAAAAUUGUAAUAGAGCUAGUCAUGUGAUAGACUGCAAAAUAAGGGAAUUUUCCUCUCUUGAAAAACAAACAAACAGGGGAAGGCAUAUAAAAAAUGUAAUGAAAACAUAAUUGAAAGAAAUAACAGUUCUGAAGCAAUGAACAACUUAUGAAACUAGGUACAAAGAACAUAUUUUGUUAAAGUAUGGGUUUCAAACACUUUGAGGCCCCUUGAUGAAUAGAUAAACAGAAUGGAAACUUAACACAUCUGAAUUUGGCAGGGACUAUGAGACAUUUAACUGAAUUUUUGCUUUAAAGCUUUUUGGUUUAAUAUGUUUUGUUUGUAUGUUUGUUUUUUUGUUUUUUCUUGAGAUUAAACCACAAUUGGCAGACCCCUUUUGAAGGAUCAAAGACAACAGCUGCAUCUGAAAUCACAUACUUCCAUGCUGUAUAGUAGAUCAAAAACAAUAUGUGACAAAAGUAGUAUGUCUGAAUUCAUAGUACUUGUAAAAGAGUAGGCAAAAAGUACCUGGAUGACCAACUAUUUCAGGCAAGAUUCAGUGCAUACGAUGGACACUUUACUAUCAUAUUGCCAUUGGAGAGGAUUUAUGAAUGGCAGUGAAGAGACACAACUGACACUUGUAGAUGAUACGGGAUAAACAACAACAUGGUGUAUGUAGUACGUCCAGGUAACACUCUUUUUAGCAGAUUUUUUUUUUUUUUUUUUUUUUCAAUUUCGCAAGAUAAUUACUUACUCAAAAUAUGUACCUACUUGAGAGUGUGUGAUUUCUGAUGCAGCCAACUUCUGUCUCAGACAAGCAUCAUACUAUACAUAGACCUGACACUACCAAAACGAAAAGAAGGUAAUUAUUAAAUAAUAUUUAGUAAUGAAACCUUAACCAUUACAAACGCUAAAAUAAUAACCAUUUUUUUACAUGAACAUGCACAUUUAAUUAUAUAUAAACAAAUACACAAACUAUUAAUAAAAACUAUUGGCAAUGUUGUUAACA
ensembl:lncRNA